rnacentral:misc_RNA from 1 species
AAAUAAAGAAAAACCACCGCUACCAACGGUGGUUUUCUCAAGGUUCGCUGAGCUACCAACUCUUUGAACCAAGGUAACUGGCUUGGAGGAGCGCAGUCACCAAAAUCUGUUCUUUCAGUUUAGCCUUAACAGGUGCAUAACUUCAAGACAAACUCCUCUAAAUCAGUUACCAAUGGCUGCUGCCAGUGGCGAUAAGUCGUGUCUUACCGGGUUGGACUCAAGACGAUAGUUACCGGAUAAGGCGCAGCGGUCGGGCUGAACGGGGGGUUCGUGCACACAGCCCAGCUUGGAGCGAACGACCUACACCGAACUGAGAUACCAACAGCGUGAGCUAUGAGAAAGCGCCACGCUUCCCGAAGGGAGAAAGGCGGACAGGUAUCCGGUAAGCGGCAGGGUCGGAACAGGAGAGCGCACGAGGGAGCUUCCAGGGGGAAACGCCUGGUAUCUUUAUAGUCCUGUCGGGUUUCGCCACCUCUGGCUUGAGCGUCGAUUUUUGUGAUGCUCGUCAGGGGGGCGGAGCCUAUGGAAAAACGCCUGCGGCGUUGGCUUCUUCCGGUGCUUUGCUUUUUGCUCACAUGUUCUUUCCGGCUUUAUCCCCUGAUUCUGUGGAUAACCGUAUUACCGCUUUUGAGUGAGCUGACACCGCUCGCCGCAGUCGAACGACCGAGCGUAGCGAGUCAGUGAGCGAGGAAGCGGAAG